UUCCACUCGCAUGUUUCCCUAUGCGCGAGUUACCUAGUGCGAGGUACGCUGGCGCGGUUCCAUCGUAAUCUCCCGGCAUCAAAAGGCAAAACCUCCAUUUUUAUGGAGAUUCAAAGCCCUUCUCCCCCUGGCAGCAGCAGAACCGUUGAUCAGUCGAUGAAAUCUAAGAUUUUAGGGUAAGAGAAAAUGAGUCGCGGAAGCAGCUCGUGGAAGCGAUCGGAACUCCUCUUUCUCGUUAUCUACGCCAUCUGUUUCUACGCUCUGAUCAUCUACCGAUCUCUCCAACUCACUCGUGAACAUUCCGGAAGACUCACCGGUCUGCGGCGUGGAUGGAUGUGGAAUCGGUUGAAUGACCUUUCUGAUGCCCAAUGGAGGAACUUCCGUGGAAAUUUACCAAUUCUUACCCUUGUUAUGGGCAUGUUUACCCUUGUGGCAACUACCUUGAGGUCUCAAUAUCAUCUAAAAGGGAGGGGGAUGUCUGUUAUUUGGUUAUUGGUUUCUUUGAGUUAUUUAUUGUAUCUACAUGGAGCUUGUGUCAUGUUUGUCCUUUCAAUAGCUUCAAUGAACUUUGUUCUUGUAAAGAUAUUUGCACAAUCAAAGUAUUUCUCAUGCUUACUUUGGAUGUUCAACAUAUUUUUUCUUAUAUGGAAUCGAAUAUAUGAAGGGUAUUCUUUCCGCACAAUCGGGCAAAGUUGGGCUUUCUUGGACAACUAUCGUGGUACUUUUAGAUGGCAUAUUUGCUUUAACUUUGUUAUUUUACGCAUGAUAAGCUUUGGUUAUGAUUACCAUUGGGCACAUCAAGACUCUCGUUUUGACCAAGAGAAACACAUGCAGCGUUGCCGCAUUUGUUCUUCUGGAAAGACGUGUUACCUUUCUUUACAGGAGAGAAGCAUUCACACCGACAAAUUCUCAUUUAGUAUGUACCUGUGUUACUUGGUAUAUGCUCCUCUUUACAUUGCAGGACCAAUUGUGAGCUUCAAUGCAUUUGCUUCUCAGCUAGAUAUGCCUCAGAGGAAUCAUUCUAUUGGACAAAUUGCUUGGUAUGGAUUUCGAUGGGUUCUUAGUCUUUUUCUCAUGGAAGUAAUGACCCAUUUCUUCUGUUAUAAUGCGUUUACAAUCAGCGGUUUGUGGAGAGAAUUUUCUCCUUUUGAGGUCUUUAUCAUUGGAUAUGGGGUAUUGAACUUCAUGUGGUUAAAGUUCUUUCUGAUUUGGCGCUAUUUUCGAUUUUGGUCAUUGGUAGGAGGUGUUGAUGUUCCUGAGAAUAUGCCUAGGUGCAUCAACAACUGCUAUGACUUGGAAAGCUUCUGGAAAAAUUGGCAUGCAUCUUUCAACAAAUGGCUUGUCAGGUACUUGUACAUUCCUCUUGGGGGUUCUCGGAAAAAGCUACUCAAUGUUUGGGUCAUAUUCACAUUCGUAGCAGUAUGGCAUGAUUUAGAAUGGAGGCUUCUUUCAUGGGCGUGGUUAACAUGUUUAUUUUUUAUCCCUGAAAUGAUAGUGAAGUCAGCUGUUAGUGCACUCAAGGCUAAGAGUGCCAUCCAUGAGUUCAUUCUUCGUGAACUAGGUGCAGUGGCAGGUGCUAUUACAAUUACAAGCCUCAUGGUAGCCAACCUUGUCGGUUAUGUUAUUGGACCGUCGGGCAUAAAUUGGUUGAUUUCGAGAUUGCUACACAGAGAUGGACUUCCUGUACUUGGUGGCAUCUUCACAACAUUUUAUGUAGGGACAAAGCUAAUGUUCCAUAUUCAAGAUACCAAGAAAAACCUUCAGUGAUUUUAGAGGGCCAUCCAGGAUCAAUACUCAUUCUGUCUCCCCAGUCAGGUAGGGUGCAACAUAAAUUUGAUUUUUCCCCAUUGAUUGGAUGUUUAGAGAGUCAACAACGGCAGCAAGCUGGUAACCGACACCUAAUUUUUUUCAGAUAGAGAAAUUGGUAAUGAAAAUUUCCCAAAUAUUGCCAUUUUACAUUAUGGGGAAUAGAAUGCAGCACAAGUAGAAUUCAACAAUUGAAAUAUUCAACUUUCGGCAAUCUCUAAGUGUGAGGAGUUGGCAUUGAAUUCAAAUGGUAGUAACUAAAGGGUAUAGACUAGUUUUUAACAGGUAACCAAUCUGUAUUUGUUCAUCGCAA